rnacentral:lncRNA from 1 species
CCCCCCCCCCGGCUUUUUUCUCCCCAUUUGACCCUCCACUUUCUCCUCCCAUUUCCCAAGAACAACAGCCCCCAAUUCCCAAGAAAAUGCCUCCAUUUUUCCCCCAAUUUUUUCCCUUCAUUCUCUCUCGACAGCCCACCUCUCUCUCUUGGGAUUUUUUUUCAUUUUUUAUUUUUUCCUCUCCCACAUUCUCAAAAAAGGAACAGGACGACCACCAUUUUUUCCGAUUCCCCCCCCCUCCAUUCUCUUUGACGCUGCAAUUCCCAACCGGCCGCCCCCUGUUUUUUUUUUUUUUUUUUUUUUUUUCAUUUUUUUUUCUGCUUCCCUUUUCCAAAACACCCACACAGUCGGCUCCCCAUCUUCCCUCAUCAUUUUUUUUCUUUCUUCCAAUUCCCACACGCGCCAACCCCUAGAUUUUUUCCCUUUUCCAUCUUCCUCCCCAACUCACACACACGACCGACCCCCAUUCCUUUUCCAUUUUCUUUCUCCCAUUUUUUUUCAUCUUCCUUUUAUUUUAUUUUAUUUUUGUUUCCCAAAAACUCAUCAUCCCUCACUGUCGUCGGUAGGAUCACCGGUCAAUCUCCUCCGGUGAGCCCCUGUCGGCCGGCGACCUCCUCCAUUUUUCUCUCAUCCUCUCAUUUUCCCGUAUCACUCAUCUCCCAUUAUUAUUAUUAUUAUUAUUAUUAUCAUUAUCAUUAUUAUUACUAUUUCUUUAUUUUUCUUUAUUUGAUUUUAAUAGUAAUUGUUAUUGAAAUUGGGCUUGUGCUAUGUUUGUUUGUGGGCAUUAUGUUUAGGCUUUGUUAAUUAAUGUGAAAUUUGAGUUAAUUUUUUAUUGUUAAUUAAUAUGAAAUUUGGGUUAAUUUAUUGUUGGUAAAUUAAUUUGAAAUUUGUUAAUUUGGGUUUAUGGGAUUAAUUUAGGAUAUUUGAACUAUAUCAAUUGCAUAUUGUUUAUUUGGACUUGGACUAUUGUUAAUUGAUUAUUUGUUUAGGUUUAUUGGAUUGGGCUUGAUGUAUUAUUUCUUUAGGCUAUGUGUAUUAUUAAUGUAGACUUAUUAAUUGGUUAUUUGUUUGGGCUUAUUAGAUUGAGCUUAAGUUAUUAUUUCCUUUGGUCAUGUGUAUUAUUAAUGUGGGUUUGUUAAUUGAUGUGAAUUUUGAGUCCAUAAUAUGGGUGGGAUUUGUUGGAUGAUUUGAAUAUUUGAUAUGAGCUUGACCUAUUUGAAUUAUUUAAUUUGAACAUGAGAUAAUUAUGAUGUAUAUUAAAUUAGGUUUGGAUUAUGAAAUAUCAAAUUUAGGCAUAAUGAGAUUUAUUUUAAUUUAUCGUGUUUUGGGUUUGAUUAAUUGAGCUUACAUUUUAGCUAUUAAUUUGAAAAAUUUUAGAUUAGGGUUUAUGAUAUGUGAGAUAUUUUUGUUAUGUUAUAUUUGUUAAUUUGGACCCAUUUGUAAUUGAUGAAAUUUAUUAGACUAAUUUGAAGUUUGAAUUUGGGUUUGAAUAAUUAUUUUGGACUCUACAUAUUUUUGGAUACUUACAUUUGUGCUAUUUUUGUUUUUGCAUGAGCCCGUUUUAUAAUCUUGUUGGCUGAGUAUAAAUUUAUGACAUGUGGAGCUUGUUGUAAGUUUAUUUCCCACUUUUAUUUUGUUUUAUUUUUAUUAGUUCUUGUAAAUAUUCGUUUGUAUAUAUUUAUUGAGUGUGUACAGAAUUGAACAUCGAACAAACUAAAAAUUUUGUUUAAAUGAAAGAAAGAAGUCAGUAAAUGUGUUUUAAUAAAACAAUAAUUUUAAAAUAUUAUUUUUAAUAAAAAAAAGUUUUUUUUAUUUAUAAAAUUCAGAAAAAUGAAUUUAAAAAAAUCCAAAAGAAAUGUUUUUAAUGGAAUUUGAAAAUUUGUUUUUAAAUAAUAUUUGUCCAAAAAUUUCUUUGUUUAAUAAAAAUUGUCCAAAUAUUGUUUUGUAAAUAAAGUUGUCCCAAAAAUUAAUUUUUAAUAAAAUUGUCCAAAAAAAUGUUUUUUUUUUAAUAAAUAUAUUCUUUUUUACUUAAUUAAAAUUGGAUUAAAAGUCAUUUUUUGAAAUAGACGAUUUAUUUAUUUAUUUUUAUUUUUAUUUUUUCCUUUUAAUUAAAAAUUCUUAUGUAAAUAAAGUUAUGUCUUUUUAAAUAAUUUGUAUAAAUCACUCUCCUUAAAUGAAAUCAAAUUGAAAUAUUUUUGUAAAUAAAAUUGUAAAAAUUCUUUUUUUUUUUUUUUACAAGUAAAAAUAAUUUUUGUGCCCAAAUUGAAAUUUUGUAAUAAAUUCUUUUGAUACAAUAAGUGUAAAUAACCUUUUUUGAAAAUUAAAUACAAAUGAAAUUGAAUCAAAUCACUUAAAGAAAAUAUUUUGUAAAUAAAUAAAUUGAAAUCACUCAUUCAAAAUAAUUUUUAAUAAAAUCCUUUGAAAUUUCUUGAAAACUUUUUUAAAUAUUUUUUCAUUAUUUAUUUAUUUAGUUCAAUAAAUCAUUUUGCAUAAUUCUUUUGUCAUUUAUUUUUUAUAUUCUUAUAAUUAGAUUUCGUCAUUAUUUUUGUGUAUAUUAAUUUUCACCGUGACUUCUACAUUGAUUAUUUUUCUUGAUAUCCAUAAUUAAUUAAUUAAUUUUCACAAUUCUCUUAAUUCGUUUAGUAAAGGCCGUAUGUAUACAGGCUUAAAGGGGUGUUACGGCUCAUCAUCGUACCUUCCCAAUAAGUAACCCGACCCCCGGACCCAAACUUGGUUUUUCACAGACCCGUUUUUCCUUCAGGAGUCACACUUAGAGUUUUUUUCUUUGGUAUUUUGUUUUUUCCUUUAAAAAUAAAACAAAAAUAAGUGACGACUCCAAGUCUUUUUCUAAAAAUCAACAUUUCACCAAAUAAAUAAAAAACGAGUUUCGCUAUCGAAUGGGAACAUAUCGAGCAGAAAUGCGGGGUCCACACACUCUAAAUUUAUUUUAUUUUAUUUUAUUAUAUAUUCUAACAUUUUACAAUUAUAUCAUUCUUUUCUUUUUUAAAAUGAAUAUUUAAAUGUAUAUAAUAUUUUAAUAUUUAAAUAUAUAUUAUAUAUACAUUUAAUACUCACGAUUACUAUUUUAUAUUAUAAACAAUUGCAUUGUGGUCUUGGUAGAGAAUUUGAAUUACAUCUAACUUUCUCAUGACCACUAGAAGAUCAGUAGAAGUGGGGCCAUUGACCAUUAGAGAUUGUUGUUAAAAGUCAGUGGGUUAUGAGUCUCAAAUUAAAUCCUGACUGAACCAGACCUGUUUAUUAAAGAAGUUAUGUAAAUCUUGUCAUAUUACGUGUGUAAUAAAUGGGUUGUAUUCAUAUUAAAGGACUAUGACAUGAUUAUUAAACGGGUUGUAUUUGCUUGACCAGAUUUCGCUAUGAUCUUAUCUCAACAUGGAACAAACUACAUAUAACAUGACUUCAGUGUCACACAAAUAUUACUCUACAAAUCCAUAUAACACGAUUCUAUUGCCACUCAAAUGUUGCCAUUGCCUUCCUUUGUUCAAUAAAUCGACACGUGAUCUUGGGCUGUUGUUGAUAGACCUGAUAGUCAAUCUUCUUUAAAUUUCUUCAUUUUGGUCUACUGUGUCCCUUUUUGCAACCAUACUAAAAACUGAAAAUCAUGCUGAAAUUAUGAAUUCUCAACUCUUCAACCAGUUUUGGCAAGUUACAUAGGUUGCAAAUGGUGAAAUUGACAUUUCUCUUAAUAAGUUAAGGGAUAUUUUGAAAUGUCUUAAUUAUUAUCUUAUGGCAAUCUAUUAUUCAAAGCCUUGACAAAGGUCCAAACUCAAACUCAUUGUCAAUGGGGCCAUAAUAUCUUUGUUAAUGAAACUGAUGAUUUUUCUCUCCAUAGCUCAGGACUUGAAUCUCAAGCCACCUCCUGUUCCUGAGGGGGAGUUCUGUUGUCUGUGGCUUCCCAGUUUCUUAUUAUUUUUUUUUUGUUUUGCACUUUUUUUUGUUUGCUUGUUUAGACUGACAACUUCAUGAAAACUUGUUCAAUGGAAAAAUAGGUAUUUAAAUUACAAUUUUUUUUGUUCAAUGGUACCAUUUGCUUCAGGAUUUCAACUAAUGAAUGAUCUAAUGGUUUGCAAGAGUUUGACAUGAUAUGGUGUAUUACCAUUAUGUGUUGCCUGUUUCAUGUUCUGAUUUUUAUGCUUUUCCCAUUGUUUUCUAAUGUAUGAUUCUUUUUUCUUUUUGAUGUAUGUAAAAGAGUCUAGAAGCAGAUUUGUCAAGGAUUACUAUAGCCUUUUUCUGAAUUAUGUUGUAAUGGCCAGUAUUUUAGUGUGUGCUAGCAGAAGUCUGGGAAAUAGUGCUUUAGGGGUUGUAGGUCAUUCUAUUUAGGAAAAAUGUGUACCAACACAACAUGAUUUCUGACAGUGAUUUGUAGGAAAAUCUUGGCUAGCUUGAGUCACUAACUGUAUGAUGGUCUUCUUACCAUGUUUUCUGGUUCACUGAAUUCCAGAGGCAGAUUUACAGUUAAUAGUGGUUAUUUAAAAUGUAGACCUUGUGCAUUGUCGACUGCCAUUUCUUAGUUAGCAUUGAAUUGCCUUCAUGACUUGCACUUCUUUGCUUUAGAUAUAAUCUCUUUUUAUUUUUUAUUUUUGGAUGCUGAAUUGGUUUCCAUCUCCAUUGUGUUCCAGGCAAAUCCAUCUGAUCCCAAGACAUUUCCUUUUAUAUUAUUGGGAAACAAAAUUGAUAUAGAUGGUGGAAAUAGCCGAGUGGUAAGGACUAUAGUUACUGUCCUAUUUUAAUUUUGUUAUUUAUUGCAUCUGGUCCUAAUUUAUUUGAAUACAGGUUUCUAAGAAAAAAGCAGAGGACUGGUGUGCUUCGAAAGGAAACAUUCCUUACUUUGAAACAUCAGCAAAGGAGGAUUACAAUGUUGAUGCUGCAUUCCUUUGUAUUGCCAAAACUGCCCUAGCCAAUGAGCAUGAACAAGACAUGUGAGUUAACCUUUAAGGCUGAUUUGUUCUUUGGAAUGAUCUGACAUGGAGGUGAUAAUUGCUGCUCAGUUUUUUUUACAUGUUAGGUUCAUCUGUAUUAAAGGAGUGUCUAUCGUGUUAUGUGCUGUCCAUGAUUGUUAUACUUCAAUAGGAAAACUAUAUUGGUUUAUGAUAGCUGGGAAGUAAGUAUAUGCUAGUUAUUCAUCCAUUAAUUUUGAGAUUGUGCUCCAAAAUUACACUAGUUAUUGUUCAAGUAUGAUUCUUGGCAGUGUAUGUACAAGCCAGAACCAUUUCUUUCUUAUUUGCUAGAAAUAUUCUCUUUAUUUUGGUGCAAGUGGUUGAGUAUAUAAAGUUCUAGUCACAUACGGAGGGUUAACUAUCACCAUUUUUGAUGAAAUUUAAUUUUGUUAUGAUUUCCAUGUAAGUGGUUCACAUGGAAUUUCAUGAGGUCAUAGUGAUGAUCUUGAGUUCUGUUUUGAUGGUGUUGUUAGAUCUGGGUGUUUUGAGCCUUCUUCAGGUUUGAUGUUUCAGAACACCAGGACUUUUGAAGCUUCUUGUUGAAGUUGAUCUGAAGACAUUUUUUUUUUCAUGGGCCAUGUUGCGUAGCCAGGGUUGUUGGCAUCUUUGGUCCUAACUGAGAGAGCAUGCCACCUUUUGCACUCUCAUUUAAGUAUUGGGUGCAGUGAUCGUCCUGGUUUUUUUUUCCAUUUCUUCAAUGAUUUCCGUCUUUCUUUGUCUUCUCAAAUUUGAUUAUGUAGGGUUAAGAUCAUUCCAGCCUAUGGCUGUUUUCUACAAAGUGAACAAAUAUUUCAACAAGCAGGUUCUUUCGAGAGGGUCUAGGAUCUUAGAAAGAGUGAAGGGUACUUAAGCAUAAGAUUUUUCUCAUUUGUUUUAAUGAAGUGUUCAUGUAUUUUAACUUUUACUGCAUAACACGUGAUGUAGCUAUGCAUGAGCCCAUAUUGCCAUUUUGCUCAGAUUUUCAUGUUGUAAUGGUAAAUAUUUCUUAGAUCCAUUUAGUUAAAUUAAGCCUAAUUUGCUAAUAAUUUAAGUGCUUGAAAUCUUAGUGACCUUUCUAUGUGAAGAUCUCAUGUUUCUUCUACCUCAAUUUUUGUUGACAUUGGGGCUUGUAAAGUUAGCCUAAAAUUCAUGGUUGUGUGUAAUUGACAGGAAAAUAAGAGAUGGCCCUUUUCAUCAUUAGAUUGGAUUAGGCACACACCCCGCACCGCCACUCCCCCACACUACCACCACAAUGAAUCUGACCUUAUACAUGGCCGAAAUGACUUUCUAAGGAGACCAAUGAGUUUCUCUCUAAGUGAUUUUAGAAUUCAAUCCACCAGUCUAAAGGCCAAAUAUAGUCUAGAGUGCCAGAUGCCACCCUUUGUUUUCUAGGAAAUCUCCUUGUCUGUUUGCCACAAAGAGCCCUGUGCGAAAGCAUCAUUGCCUAAUCUCAAUCACUCUUGUGCUUAGCUUGGUGACUAUAAUCCACCCAAUCAGAUGACCUCCGCUUGGUUUCCUAGGGCCCUUAAGAAGCCCUUUGGAUCUCCACUGUUAUUUCUGCCACACUAUUAGGCAUUCUGAAAAUGUAGAUGUAAACUUAAUUGUACCUUUUUAGGGGUAGUCAUAAAUUUGUUUUUAAUAUGAGUCCAUUUUUUCUUGUUAGGCAAAUAAGAAUAUACUAAAUUAGUGCUUGAAAAGAGGGGGCCCAAACCUAGGUAUGUAGGUUGUAUGUAAGGAACACUUAAAGCACAAACAAGAAGAGCUCAACCCAUUCCCUACUCAUUGUUAAAAUUUAACAAUAAAAGAUUUCCAUUCCUGAAAGAUAUACUCAAUGAUGAAUCCUUGCACCAACAAAUAUUUCAAAUAGAAAUCUCAGUUUCAGAAUUAGUGGCUUCACCUGUUCAAAAUCCUUUGAUUCUGCUGUUUUUUUAAAGCUAUGAUGUAGAGAGGUUACCAUCAAAGCCAAGGUGAUCACACAUUAUUUAUCAGAACUUUCAUCUAGGGAGACUUAAAGCAUUAAUUGCGUAUGACGAUGAUAUUGUUGUCAUUGGAGAUGACCAAGAAGAGAUUAUGGGGUUGAAAUCAUACUUAGUUGAAGAAUUUGAAAUCAAGGACUUGGUAAGCAUUGAUAUUUCCUUAGAAUUGAGGUGGCUAGAUCAAAGCAAGGAUUAUCGAUUUCUCAACAGAAGUACAUACAAGAUUUACUUAAGGAAAUGAGUAUGCUUGGGUGUAAAUCAGUUAAGACACCUAUUGAACAAAAUCACAGACUAGGAGAGAAAUCUGAAGGCCAACUAAUUGAUUGAGGCAACUACCAACAGAUGGUGGAAAAACUAAUUUACUUGUCACUCACAAGACCAAACAUUGCAUAUGCCGCGAGUAUGGUAAGUCACUUUAUGCAUGCUCCACUUAGACCCCACUUAGAAGCUGCAUACUGGAUUUUGAGAUAUUCGAAGGCAGCUUCUGACAAGGUUAUCUUAUUUAAGAAGGGUAAAGAAUUAAAGUUAGAAGCCUACACAAAUGGAGACUAGGCGAGAUCUAUUGUGAAUGGACGAUCAACUAUGGGAUUUUGUACUUUCUUGGGAGGUAAUCUUAUCAUUUGGAGAAGUAAGAAAUAAUCAGUUGUACACUGUUCAAGUUCGAGAGCAGAAUUUAGAACUAUUGCAUAAGAUAUUUCUGCACUUCUUUGGAUUAAGAUCUUACUUAGGGAUCUCAAAAUCAAAUUUUAAGAACCUAUGAUAUUGUAUUGUGAUAAUAAAUUUGCCAUCAAUAUAGCUCACAACCUAGCCCAUCACUAUCAAACCAAGUAUGUGGAGGUUGACAGAUAUUUUAUAAAGGAAAAGUUGGAUGGUGGUCAAGUGUGCAUGCCAUAUAUUUGUACUACUAAUCAACUAGCCAAUGUUCUCACUAAAGGACUCCCAAGUUUAGCAUUUCAACGAAUGACUGACAAGCUGGGAAUGCAAAGCAUCUUUGCACCAACUUUAGGAGGAGUGUUGGAAGAAUUGCAAUUGGGUUGUUGACCAUGUAAUAUAGUUUCCAUAUAUAAGUGUUGUAUAGUUGUACAAUAUUAUAGAUCCUAAGGUUUUGCUGGGAUUAAUUUGUUUCCUUGUUAAAUUUUCUGUUUCUUUCUUUAGAUUCUAGAGUCAAGAGCUUUGUUCAAUAUAUAGCUCUGUAUCAAACCUUAGAAGGAAUAAGAAAAUAAUUAUUUUCUCCUGCCUUUCUUUAAUUUUAGCAUGAUACAAGUAUAGGGAUGAGAAAUUUAGAAAUGUGAAAUCUAAAAAUUGGGAAUUACACAGAAGUAAUCAUCCUCAUGCAUCAGGUUGCAUCACUAAGACAGCCAGCACAACCAAAUAGCUGGAUGGAAAAAGAAACUAAGAAAAAACCCUAAUGGUAGGAUCAUUAGAUGUUUCUUAUUUAUUUUUUAUGGUUUUUUAAGAUGAUCAAGUCAUUUAUGAUCGUAAUAAGGUGAUCUUCUUUCUUGUUCUAUGGAAUCAACAACACUCUAGAUACCUAGUUUUUGGUAUAUUCUUUAAUAAAUCUACAAGUUUUAGAAGAUGCUGCAUUUUAUUUGUUACUCAACCAUGUUUUUAUAUACUUGUUGCAUUAAGUGGUGCCAGAGUAAUGUCAUGUUUGGUGCAGGUAAACAACUCUCAAGUAUUAUUCUUCAUGAAUUUAUUCAUUAGCAGCCAAUAGAGAAGUGAAAGGUUUGUUUGGUGAAGUUUUUUAAAACAAUUCUCAAAAAAUUAUUUUUGAGAAUAGUUCUUAAAAAUAGUUCUCAAUUGUUUUUAGCAACAAAAUUCAGUUUAAGAACUCAAAUAUGAAAAACAUUUUUCUUGUCUUAUUCUAAGUGAAAUCAUUAUGCAUUUAUGUACAAUGCAAAAAUUCUCAGCCUAUUCUUUAUGUUUCCUGUUGUCUUUCAGAACACUAUAAAAACCACAUGAAAAUACCUCAAAUUUGUUUUAAAAAAUCAUCAUGUUUUCAGAAAAAAUUAUCAAAGAAAUUUGUCCAGUCAAAAAUUUGCCAAAUGUGUUUUUGAAGUUAGAAUNNNNNNNNNNNNNNNNNNNNNNNNNNNNNNNNNNNNNNNNNNNNNNNNNNNNNNNNNNNNNNNNNNNNNNNNNNNNNNNNNNNNNNNNNNNNNNNNNNNNGAUGCAGACUCGGUCCCACCUGAUUGUUCCCUAUUUCUUCAAUUUGUCUUUUUUUUUUUUUUUCGUUUUUUCAUUUGUUGUGAUUUAUAGUCAUUUUUUGCCUUUGAAAUGUUUGAGCUGUUGUCUUGUGUUGCCACUUUAGAAGAAAGCAGUCUUUAUUUUGCUGAACAUGAGCUUUAGUACUUAAAAUUGUAGAGUAGAAAGCCCCAUUGGAUUCAUUCACCAGGAAUCAUUUUCAUCUGUGGUUCGGAAUUGAGAUCCAUUUUUAGUAGGAAAAAUCAUUGCUUUUAAGCUUAAUAUGUAUUUUCUGUACGGUUUAUUUAACUUGUGGAGUUUUAGUUGGAUCGAAUUACAUGUAAUCGAACUCCUAUUCUUUGAGAUUGCAUGGGAAGCUUUGUUUUACUUAGAAAAUCUGUGGAUGUUCCAUGUACUGAAAUAAUAUGAAUUGAUUUCAAGUUUUCCAUAUAGGAAACAGAGUUCUGAGUAUCUGCAGACCUGCUAGUUGAACUGGUAAAACGCUAGCCUUCUUUCACCAGGCUUUUACUGAAUCACUGAAAUCUUCCAGCACAAUUGGGGAUGGAUCUUGGCAUGGCGGCAUGUAUGCAGGAGGUGGAAGGAUACUGGUCUCAGGCGUGCCGCCGUCCUUCACUAUGAAAACAGUGUCCAUACCCCAGGUGAGAUGUCGAUCCAAAUGACAGUGCCAUAGCCAUACACCUGCAUGCAACCAUCCUUAUCAGUUCCAAUGAUCAACAUCAGUUUUUAUAGUAUACUUGUAUAGUCCUGAAGAAUACACCCACCAGGAUUAUUUGCUACAAAUCUGAGGGCAACCCAUCCAUUCUGAGGAACUGUAACGGUGUUCCGUUCAGGUGGGUCAACCAAAUUAAACCCUUGGGGAUCAGUCUCAUUGUCGAAAACUCCAUAACCCGACCCAAUCACAUAAAAGGUAUAACCAUGUAGAUGCAGUGGAUGAUCUUCGGGUGUAUAUUGCACAUUAGUUCCCUGGAAUAUGAUCUCCACUGAUUCAUUGUAGUUGAGGACCUUCACCUUAGUCGCCUGCAUUGUUACGUCGGAAGGCAUAUCGUACCCGGUGAAGUUAAAAUAGUAGGACGGAUGGUCUGGGAAAUCUGUGGUAUAAACUCCACCAACAUGCCUGUAAUAAACCCUCAUUUGGAGACCAUCAUAAACAAUAAUCCAGGAAAAAAAAAAGACUGAAAAAAAGAAAAGAAAAGAGAAAUAAAAAACACAGUGGAUUACCUGUAGUAGGCUUGCAGCACAUCCAUCUCGGGGUUCAGAAAACUAAUGUUGUUCAAGCUUGAAGCUAUGUAAGUCCCUGUUGUCCCCUCAUCUUCAUAGACCACUGAAUUCAUUGCCACUGUGAUGUACAUUCUAGUAGUUAUAUCUAGAGGCACAUUCACUGGGUGCUCUGGGCUUGCUAAGCUCCGAAACUGGGACAAAAAGCUGUAUGCAACCCCCAAUUGGUGGUAAGCAGGAAGGUUGGCUGGAAAGGAAGGUGCGGCCGGGGGUGUGUAGUUGCCUCUAUAUUGAAUAAUUGCAGUAACAUUUGAAUCAUCGAAGUCGGGAACUUCAGGAUUUUCAGAUACAAACUGCCUGGCAGCCAUGUAAUAGUAACUUGGAGCCUGGUCCAUUGUGACCAGGACAUCCAUGGUUUGUCCCGGGGUGAUCAUUAUGAAACUGGUGACAAAUGGUUUGGUGUAGGUUCCGUCGGUGCCAACAACAGUGAGGUUGUGGCCGGAUAUGGCGAAGAAGGUUUCCGAGUUCAUGAUUGCAUUCACUAUGCGAAGAAGAUAGGUCUUGCCAUAAUCCACCAGUAAACGAUAUGUUGUUCCUGCAACAAAUUAGUCAUGAAAAUCAAUAGAUGUUGAUGCUUGUAACUCUUCAUACACAGGAUACAUUUAUGUGCUAGUUGUAUGUUGAGGUACCAUUGGAGCAUGCUGCAAAAUCUCCUGGCUGGCCGUUGAUGGUGUAAGCAUCUGAUACCGGAGUAGAUGAAGUGGAAUUUUGGAGCAGAGCCUCCUGAACCAGCAAGUUCACAUCUCCCUCGAACCAAGAUGCUGCAAUAAGAAAAUAAUAAGAUCCACACCUAAAUAUCCGGAAUUAAUCCAUUCCAUUCAUUGUAGUUUUAUAGAAAAAAAAAAAAAAAAAAUCAUUCUCAUGGUACCAGCUAGUUAUGGGCCAUCUCUUUUUUUUUUUUUUCUGUUGAAAGAAUAGUGCUUUUUGUUCUCAUUCUCGCUUGUUCCACAUAGGGCUCUUGGGUCCCCUACUUAAUUUUCCAAAGUAUACAAAAUCACAUGGACUCUCAAUUCCCCUACCUACUUUUCAAGAAUAGAAAUCCGUUGUAGUAAAAAAUAUUUGCAGAGUUACCAAGCACAAUAACUUCUUCAGCAUCAGGCUUGGGAUAUGGAUAGGUGGUUCCUUCAGCUGGCAAAACAACAAUAGCACCAUGGACAGUGGCCCUUGUCCAGUUACUAUGGGCAUGCCACCAAAGAGUUCCUUCCUGAUCUUUACCCAAUAUCACCUCGUAUGUGAAGUUUGUUCUUGGUUGAAUGCUGCACUGUGUGAUGUACUCUGGGCCGUCCGACCAUGGAUUCCUUGUUUGCUCCACUCCAUGCCUAACAAUUUCCCCUUUCUUAUUAUUUGUUCGUGAGCUUUACUCAUGUGAAUAAAUAGUUAGUUCCUUCAUUUGUAAAGAGUAGCUAAAGAACUGUCAUUACCAAUGAAUGGUGACGCCAUAAUCGCCUUCAUUCUGCACGUUUACGUAGACCGUAUCGCCUCUGUGAAUCCGAAUGACUGGCCCUGGAAAGCUUUCAUUCACAGUCAGCAUGCUUUUUGUGCUGCACAGCCUUGUGAAAUUGGACUUCUUCAGCUACAGGACAUCAAAAAGAGAGGCAAUGUACAAUGUGAGUAGCAACAAAGACCUUGGAUUCUGAUCAAAGCAGGCAAGUGUUAAGGUAAUACUCACAACAAAGUCAUAGUAGUGGGCGUCUCCUUGGACACUGCAAACAAGCAUUCCACUCAUAAGCACAAGCACAAGCAACUUCAAGAAAAAACCCAUCUUCUUCGACCCCAUAGCUUCUUUCCUGCUUUGUUGCAUUGACUGAGAUGCAGGUGGUGAGAUAAAACUUUAUAUUUGAGCCUUCUGAAGUAUUUAUAAGAAAAUCUGACAGAUUUCUCAUUUCCUUGGACUCCUUUCCUCUUUGAUACUUGACUUCUGGUUACUGCCCCACCUCUAUUUUCCACCCACCAACCAACAGUCCAAUUGACAAGAAUUUCACAAGAAAAAAAAGUAUCACCAGCUGAUAGCUAUCCUAUGACGUGCAGAAAUGCUUUGCAAAUCACUGUCCAGUCUUCUGCUUAAAUUCAGCCUCCAUAACUGACUAUCCUACGAUAGGCAGUAAUGUUUUGCAAGCCACUGUCCAGUCUUCUGCGUAGAUUCAGCGUCCAUAGCUGACUCAUUGAAUUGUAUACAUGACUGCUGCUAAAUAUGUACAUGACCAAGGCUAAAUCCAGGCAAAAAACUUGGAAGAAAAAAUUGGAAAAUAUAUAUAAAAUUCCGAACAAAUCAGCCUAUUUAAUCCAAAAUUUUAGAUUACUAGAUAACUUUAACACUUAAAAAUGUAAAAUUAAUUAAAUAAUAAGUUUUAAGUUAACUAAAAGAUAAUAAGUAUUAAGUUUUAUCAUUUAUCCUCUUAGUUUUUAUUUGUGAGUGAUUGUUAUGGUUAAAAUAAAUGUUUUUAUUUUUUUAUUUUUUGGAGAUUUACUAACUGAUUAAAUUUUUAGUUGAAGAUUCAUAAGAAAUGUUAAUAAUAGUUAGGUGUAUAGAUUGGUCGUGGUUCCUUAUUCUUAAGUGUGGAAGAAAGUUAGGUUUGAGGGUAACCCUUGAAUUGCAUGUAGAAAGCAAAGAAGCAAAAUGAUUAUAGUAAUUAAGGAUGCACGGAUGUUUUGUGUGUACGAGGGUGCAAGAAAUUUAGGUAGUUCAAACUAACGACAAAAAUUUUACGAUAUUUUAUAGAAAUAUUAUUUUUUGGGUGUUAAUACAUAGGGAAAAAAAAAUCACCGAUUUUUUCGAUGGAUAAAAGAAAAGUUGAUCCAACGAUUUGGUUUAUGAGGGAUUGAUCCAAUGACUAGAAUAAAGCCUAUGCUUGUUAAACCUGAGCCAACGGUCAAAUAAUUGAUCGAAGGACUAGAAUUAAAUUUAGCCUUGAUCCAAUGGUUGGGAAGUGAAUUUAAUGGAAAUGAAUUAUAUCGUUAAGAUGACAACCCAAUAACUAUUUUGGGUUUGACUUUAAUUAAUUUCAACCACAAUUUAAUUGAAACUCUUUUGAUCUCUUAUUACUCAAAUUUUAUUAGUGAUUGCUAUCAAAAGUUUAUAAAUUUGGGAAUUUGAUAUUAAAGUUGUGGAUUAACUCUAAAUCAAGGUUGAUAAAUUGUUUUAAGGUAUAUAUGUAAUUUAAUUUAAAUUAUUUAAUUAGUAGAAAUUUAAUAAUUUAAAUGAUUGAAAUUAUUAGUUUAAUUUUAAUAAUAGUUUAACAUUAAACAUUAAUUAUACUCACUUGUAUUUAUAUAUUGAAUUUCAUUUAUAUGCAUUGUUUAAUCUUCAUUUUAUUUACUAACAUUAUAUUAUAAGUUUAAAUGUCUAUUAUAUUUAAAUCACCUAAUUAGUACAUUUUCAAUAAAAACUAGUAAUUUAAUUUAGUAUUUUUAAAUUUAGUAUAGUAUUGAAAUUAUAUUAUAGUUAAUUGUUUAUUCAAUUUCAUGUAAUACAUAGUUAACUUUCAAUGGUAGUUAACUUUAAUAUAAGUUUUAUAUCCAAAUUAAAUUAUAGUCUAUUGUAUAUCAAAUAUCAUUUAUAUAUGUAGUUCUAUAUUUUUAAUUCAUUUAAUGUUAUUACAAGUGUAAGUGGGAGUGGAGUAGCGGGAUGAGAUCCUACUUAGAAGCAUUGUACACUAAUGGAGCAUAAUAGAAACAUUCUAUUGGUUGAACAUAGAUUGCACUUGAGAAAUCCUUGAAGUUUUGAUUUUUUCGGUUUACUUCACCCUUCAUCCUCACAUCCAAGAUGUCCAAGAGGAUUUCAAGGUCAUCAUUAUUCAUGAAAUAUGCCUAUAAAUAUAAAAAAAAAACUCAAAGUAAGCAUGAGAAAGUUGGGCAUAUACAAGAUAACAUAUAAUUGCUUAGUUGAAGGGUGCUUUUAAUGAUAUACUCAAACUUAAGAUGUGAUAUUGACCCUAUUUUUAUGCAAAAAUAUGGUAUUAAUAAAAAACCUAUCUAAAAGAACAAAAAAUUUAAACAUCAAUUCACAAUAGUCCUCAAGACAUACAUGCAUUCAUUCAUUCAUCCCUUAGGACCAUGGGAUGAAAAAAAAAAAAAAAAAUAUUUACAAAACCAAGUGAGCACACCAUAGUAAGGUUUUAAUAUGCUUUUCCCUAACUCAAGGCUCCAACACUAGUUGUUAGAAUCUUUGGACUUCUUUAUUUUAAGCCUUCGAUCGUUGGGGUGUAUGCAAAACUAUCCUAAAGAUCUCUAAAUUUAUGUAAGGGAAGCAUUCACAAAUUUGAACCUUAGAUUUAUGUGCUCAAAAAUCUUUACCUUGGUCUGAAUGUUCUUAGACCAAUUCCAAAUGAUCACAAGUUGACGUGGAUCUUGAAUACUUUGCGAUCUUUGGUCUAAUGGCUCUCUCUUAGAGAUUAGCUUGAAGAUGGUACAAUCUUCUUUGUGUGGAUGAAAGCUAGAAUUUUUCUCUUUAGAAGACCGAAUAGCAAAGAUUCGAUCUCUAAAUCCUUAAAGGAGUUUCUAUAGGUUUACUUAUAGGCUUAAAUGACCUGAGCCCACCUUGGGCUUGGGUCACUUAACCCUUAAUGCACAUAUAUGAAUAAUAACCUAACUAUCCCUCAAAUAAUGUUCUAUCAAGGGAUAUGAGCUUGAAUAAGGACCAUUAGGAUCCAUAGGAAAGUACUGAAUCCCUCAUAAUCCAAUUCUAAAAUUGACUUAGCAUCUCACCUUGGAUAUCAAAAUUUUUAGUGAAAUAAAUUAUCGCUAAAUUGGUCUUCAAAAAAAUGUGGCUCCCUAAUUGAUAGAAUUUGGGAUCGACAAGUGAUAGGUCUUAAACACAUUUGACAUGUGACAUAUAUUAAAAGGUGGCACAUGGUAAAAUUUGGAUGACUAAAAAAUUGUCUUCCAAAUAAAAUUAAAAUUUUCAAUUAUAGUAAAAGGAGAAGUAAAAAAAAUAAAUAUUCUCUUGUUAACAAAUUCUUAAAGGAAACAAAUAUGUCAACUGAAGUCAAAAGAGAAUAAAUAACAAAUAAAUAUUCUCUUAUUAGCAAAUUUCUUUAACAAAGAAGACAAGUUGCUAAAAUCAAACAACUAAAUCUUGGAGAGUUCCAAAAUUUAAUUCCUUAAUUUCAACUAUAAACAGGGGUGACUUCCUUCAAUGGAGAGAUUUCUUCGGAUCAACAAAAUGACUCUCACGGGAAAAGAGGCUUUUGAGGAUUGAAAAAAAUGACUCCACAUGGAAACAAGGCUCCAUAAAGAAGAAUAGGCUUCACAAAAUAUCCUUACAAGUCCAAGAAAUCAUAGAAGAACUACAUACAUGAUCUUCGUUGUUCAAUGAAUUCAUUCGGGAACAAGCCACUUGUGGUCCUCGAUUGAUCUCUGAAAUCAAGAAAACGUUUUCAUCGUUGUCUUUCAAAUUGUGAUCAAGGUGAAAUAAUCAGAGAGAUAUAUUCUUUUAUAAAAGAAUAUUACCACAAAAAUUGUACCCACAAUUUAUUAAUUUUAAUAAAAUAUUUUGUUUCACAUAUUUUUCCUAUUGUUUUGCUUACAUUAUAGGACUUUCAUGAAAUUUGUGCAUAUAAAUUUCUAGCACGAUUGUUGGGACCUCUUUGCCUCUCAUCUCUUUUUCCAAAAAGGUGAUCACUACCAAGACAAUGACAUUUAAAAAGGCUUAAGUUACACAUGUUGACAAGGGUGAUGCCAAGAUUGUCAUUACCCAAUCAACAUAUAGCAACUUUAUCAACCUUAUCACAUGUAGCAAAGCAAAAUUGACUACUGCACCACUAACAAAGUUAGCAAGCGAGCACACUUGUUUGUUAAAAACAACGGAGACGUGUGACAGUCACCAACUAGUCAUCACCUUGGCCUCUUUGGGGCCAAAGGGAUAGAGUUUUCAUGGUAGGGAAAAAUACCAUUCAACAAUGAAGGACUUUGAGGAUAAGUCUCUAUACUUUAUUGUUGAUGCUAGCUCAACCACUUGCUCACCAAUUGGGGAGUUAAAGCAAAACAAUCCCUUUGACCAUUCUAGUUUUUUCACUUCUUUAUUCUUGAUGACCAUGUUGGUAAUGGCUACUAGCAUUACAUCUGUGGAAGAACAACUAGUAGAAAUGGCUUGUGCCAUCGAUAAACUCACCAAGACUAUAUAGGAGAAAGAUCUACAAAUAACCUCUUUCAUAAACAAGGUCGAGGCACAAGCACAAAACACAUUGAGUCAAAUUAAGGACUCACUAACCCCUCGGGGAUCGCAUCUCCAAGUGAUGUACCACAUGCGUCUAAGUCGGUGUAAGUCGAGAGACAAACUGUUGAAUUUGCCUCGAUGGCAUUGCUGUCUAUCCAAAAACUUUAGGACAUGAUAACUAACACCAUCGGAGAGCAGUAUGGUAGACCCUCAUAAAGUACACUUAUUUACUCUAAGCCUUACACCAAGAGGAUUGAUAACCUAUGUAUGCCUGUAGGUUAUCAACCUCCACAAUUUCAAUCAUUCAAUUGGAAAAGGAAAUUCAAAGCAACAUAUUUCCCACUUUGUCCAAACUUGCAAUAAUGCAAGCAUGGAAGGUGAUCUAUUGGUAAAACAAUUUGUUCAAUCUCUCCAAGGGAAUGCCUUUGAUUGGUUUAUAGACCUUGCACUUGAGUGCAUUGACAAUUGUGAUCAAAUGGAGCGUGAAUUCCUCAACCUCUUCUAUAGCACCGUAUGAGCAGUAACCAUGAUGGAGCUUACCAAUACAAAGUAAUGGAAAGAUGAGUCGGUUGUUGACUACAUCAAUAAUUGGCGUUCCUUAAGUCUUGAUCUUAAGAAUAGAUUAUUUGAGGUUCAGUUGUGGAAAUGUGCAUAUAAGGAAUGCAUUGAGGUCUUUUGUAUAUCCUCCAAGGAAUACGACCUUACACCUUCGAAGAAUUGGCUACUUGGGCACAUGACAUAGAACUCAGCAUAGCCAACCAUGGUGUAACGAAAGAUCCUAUCAUCGACCAACAAAGGGAGAUAAAUGAUGGGAAAAUGUGUGACUUGACCUCAAAGAAACCUGUCCAGGAGUCAAUGAUGGUAAAUACGACUCCCAUUAAAAUUUCAGUAAGAGAUAAAAAGGAGGUAAAAGAGGUUGCAUCAACCCAAGAAAAUGAGAAGUGUCGGUUCACCUUGAAGGAAUUGGAGGAGAAGAAAUAUCAUUUUUCUGACUCUAAUGUGCCUAGCAUGUUGGAAGAUCUGCUCUAUAAAAAGGUUAUUGAAAUACCUGAGUGCAAACGGUCGAAAAAAAUGGGUUGUGUUGAUGAUCUGACUACUAUCGUUACCACCAAAUCGUUAUCCACCCGGUGGAAAAAUGUUUCAUCUUAAAAGAACUCAUAAUGAAACUUGCUAGACAAGGAGAAUGUUAAAUUUUUUAUUUUUUUGCUUUCGUUACAUAGGAUCUAAAGGCUUAGGGUAGUUUGCAUGCACCUAUACAAUCCAGAGUAUGGGAAUGAAGAGAUCUAGGGGUCCUAGUAGGACUAAUUAGACAUAUUAGAGAAUUGAUUGAUUAGACUAGUGGGUUAACUUUUUUUUUUUUAAAAAAAAAAUUGAGCCAUUUUAAGCAACAUUAACUAGUAUUGAACUAGUAGAUCGACUAAUUGGAUUGGAGAAUUGAUUAAUUAGAUUAACGGUUUGAUUAAAAUGAGAAAAGGGGAGGAGAGGGGAAUUAGAUUUUGACCAACAGUAGAAAACAACUUUUCCCCUCUUUAAGUACCCUUAUCUGUUUCCACAUCCUAACUAGGUUAACAACAUCUCUUAUCUAUUAGGAUAAAAUAAUAAAAUAUAAAGUUAAUGAAAUGUGAAUAAAAAGAUAAUAAAUAUGAAGUUAAUUGAUGUAAAAAAAAAAUUAUUUUAUUUUAUUUUUAUAUAUGAAAUAUCUUCUUAACAAUAAAAUAUUAUAAUUUUUUUAUUUAAUUAAAUUAAAAAUAUUAAUAUAUUUACAUUUUAUAUGAUUUAAUAGGAGUAUAUAAAAGAUAAAAGAAUGAAAUAUUUAAAAAUUUUAAUUAUUUAUAUUUAAUUCUAAUUUCUCAUAAUUACUUUUAAUUUUAAUUUUAUAUAUAAUAAUAAUAAUAAUUAUAAUAACUUUUUCGGUUUAGUGAUUGGUUGAGUUUUAAAAACAUUAAUUCGGGUGUUUGGAGAACAUAUUUUAGAGAGUAAAAAAACUCUUAGUCCUCUCAUAUAAAUUUUCAUUUAUUAAGAAUUUUUGGAUAAUUGAUAAGAUGGUGUCACAUGUAUAUAUAAAAGAUUCAUAGGAGAAAUAUUUGGUAACAACUGUAUGUGCCCUACCUGCUAAGUGAUUCCUUUUUCUCUUAAUUUGAGAAAAAUAAGUUUAACAAUAUUUUGACCAACAUGUUUUGAUGAGCCUUAAUUGAGCCACUAAAUGAAGACUUUCAACCAACUUUUUUAGAAAUAGAGUGAGCAGAGGAGACUUAAGGUUUGAUAGGUGUGAAGAAGGUGAGGACGUUUUCAUCCCAUCACAUACAAUUUUUUUAGAAAAGAAAAAGGAAAAAGGAAAAUGGUAUUUAUCACCUAAAAAAUAAAAGAAAAAUGACUAAUAGCGAAAUACAUAUAAGAGCAUGGUAUGAGAUGUGGGGGGCCCUAUUCCAACGACAAAGCAGAGAGAGCCCCUGUUUUCUUAACCAGAAGGAGGAGCUCUCAGUUGGAGUGUCAAAUAAGCAGAUCAGGUACCCUCAUUGAGUUAUGAUGUUAUAAUGAAAAGGAAACAGAGCAGAGAAGAGAAGAAGAAACAGAGCUAUUAUGAAAAGGAAACAGAGAAGAGAAGAGAAGAAGAAACAGAGUGCUCAUUUCAUUCUCAUUCAUCAUACAGAGAAAUAUGAGUAGCAAGGUUCUUGAUACAGGGGGCGGGCAAAAAGAGUACUGUAAAUAAUCUGUAACUAACUCCAGCUCAUCUCUUAGAAAAAUACAAAAGCAGCUGUCUAACUAACAGGACUUUUAUUCUUACAGUUAAGAUCAUCUUAAUAGAUGUGGCUUGGAAUUGAUAUGGUAUACUUGGAUCAAAUCUUACUUAUAGUGUUGACUACUCCAUCUGCAUCAUUGAAAUCUUCAAGGCGAAUAGGGGAUGGAGUUGUGCAGGGAGGCAUGUAAUCAGGAGGUGGAAGGAGACUAGUUUCUGGUGUGCCACCAUCCUUCACUAUGAAAACAGUGGCCAUACCCCAUGUGAAAUGCCGAUCCAAAUGACAAUGCCAUAGCCACACACCUUCAAGAAAAUCAUCCACACAAUCAGUUUCGAAAAUUAGCAUCUAUGAUUCAUCUAUAAAACGAGUGGAUGAAAAGUUGAGGAAGAACAUACCUGGAUUGUCAACUCUAAGUCUGAUGGCAACCCACCCAUUCUUAGGAACUCUAACCGUGUUUUGUUCAGGUGGAUCAACCAAGUUAUAGCCUUUAGGAUCAGCCACAGGGUCGAAAUUUCCAAAACCCAUGCCAACCACAAAAAAGGUAUAUCCAUGCAGAUGAACUGGAUGAUCUUCAGCUGACGUUAGCAAAUUUGUUCCCUGGAAUACAAUCUCCAAUGUUUCAUUGUAAUUCAGCACCUUCACCUUGGUUGCUGGCUUCGUUAUGGCAGAAGGCAAAUCGUCCACACCAGUGAAGUCAAAAAAGGAAGGCGGGUCGUCUGGAAAAUCUGUGGUGUAAACCCCACUUAUGUGCCUGAAAUUAAGGAUUUGGAAUCAUUAGGAAGCAAAUAUUAAAGUCCAUGUUUUUUAGUAGUAGGCAACAAAGGUAUACCUGUAGUAGGCAUCCAAUAUACUAGAACUGGGAUCCAUGAAACUUAUGUUGUUCAAGGUGGAAGCAAUAUGGGGGACUAUAAUUCCCUCAAAUGUAUAGCUGACCAGAUUAAUUGAAGCUGUUAUGAACAUUCUGGUAGUUACAUUUUGGGGCACAUUUGCUGGGUGUUCUGGGCUUGCUAAGCUCCUGAGCUUGCUGGUGAAGUUAUAUCCAGCGUCUAAUUGGUAAAAAGUGGGAAGCGUAGUGGGAAGGGAAGGCGAAGCUGGUGGGGUGUAGUUGCCUCUAUACUGAAGUAUCGCGGUAGCGGUCAUAUUGGUAAAGUCAGGUAUACUUGGGUCAAUGGUGACAAAUUGUCUUAUAGCCAUGUAAUAGUAACUUGGGGUUUGGUUUGCUGUGAUCAAGACAUCCAUGGUUUGUCCUGGGGUGAUCAUUAAGUAAUUGGUAACUAAUGGUUUGGUGUAGGUUCCAUCUGUGCCAACGACUGUCAAGUUGUGCUCAGAAAUAGCAAAGAAGAGUUCUGAGUUCAUGGCUGCGUUCACUAUGCGAAGAAGAUAGGUCUUGCCAUAAUCCACAACCAAACUGUAUGCUGGCUCUGCCACACAGGAAACAAACAUGGUGAUCAUCAGAUCUAAAUUUAUAAAUGUACAACGACUUGAAAUUCCUCUUCAACUUUUUUCAUAUAUAUGCAUAAGUCUGUUAGAAAUGUUAACUAGUUAUAUGCUUAAUUACAUACCACUAGAGCAUGCGACUAGAUCUCCAGGAAAGCCAUUGAUGGUGUAAGCAUCGGAUUCGGGUGUAGUAGCAUUAUAAUGGAUCAGGUCAUACUCAAGCUCCACGUUCUGGUCUGCAUCAUACCAACAUGCUGCAGGUACAUGAUCAUGAGAAGCUGCUCUUCCUAAAAAUAUACAAAAUCAUAAAUUUUGAUGAAAAUAUUUGCAUACCCAAUACAAUAACUUCUUCGCCAUCAGGCUGGGGAAAUGGAUAGGUGGUUCCUUCAGCUGGCAAAACCACGAUGGCACCGUGCACAGUGGCCCGUGUCCAGUCACUAUGGGCAUGCCACCAAAGGGUUCCUUCCUGAUCUUCACUAAAUAUCACCUUCUGUGUGAAGCUUGUCCCUGGUUGAAUCUGGCACUGCGUGAUGUGAUCUGGGCCAUCUGACCAUGGAUUCCUUGGCUGCUUCACUCCAUGCCUAAUAACAAAAAUGACAUCUAUAACAUUUAUUCUUCAGCUUUGACGUCUUAUUAGUUAUUAGUUAGUUCCUUCAUCUUCUAAGAAUGUAGGCAAAACUCCAAUUCUUUUAUCUAGUUUAUAUGGGGAGUGUCAGUAUGAGAAAGAGAUUCAAGUGUCCUCACCAAUGAAUGGUGACGCCAUGACUCCCUUCAUUCUGAACAUUGAUAAUAGCCGUAUCGCCUGUGUGAACAUAAACCACUGGCCCUGGGAAGCUCUCAUUUACAGCCAGCAUGGUCUUUGUGACACACAGCCUUGUGAAAUUGGUGUCCUUGAGCUACAAGACGACCAGCAAAAUGGAAGAAUAUGAGUAUAUUAAAAAAAAUAAAAAUAAAUAACAAACAAGGUCCAUAAAUAUCAGAAAAGCGGGCAAGAAGGAUCCAAUGAUUAAAUUAACCAAGGCAGUGCCAAAAGCAUAACUCACAACAAAAUCAUAGUAGUGCGUAUCCCCUUCAGCAAUCCUGCAGACAAGCAUCAAUCCACUCAAAAGCACAAGAAGCAGAAACUGUACGGCAGAACCCAUUUUCUCCAACGCCAUUAUUUCUUCACUCUCCCUCUUCUAAUAUACGUCUACUGAGAGGAAGGAGGCCAGUUAAAAUUUGGCUCCUAAAUGCUACUUCAUUUAAACCAAGUGUCUAUAAGAACAACGGUUGGUCCUGAGUUAGUUGGACUGGCCCAGGUUUGCCUUUGGUUGAUUUCUUGUUGUUUCAAUUUUAGGUGGAGUCCAUGGUCUGACCUCUUUGUUCCCACCCCACUUUUGUCUCCCCUGAAAUUGCCACGUAGGCUAGAAAAACGUUGCCAAACAACAUUCGACUCACGGAAUGUGAAAAGAUCAAAAUUAAUUUAUGAAAUUUUAAUUAUUUGAUUUUGUAAUUAAAGUGAAAGCCAAACAACAUUCCAAUGACUAAUGAAAUGUGAAAGCAUCAAUGAAUAUUUACUUAUUUAUUGAUAAAUAAUUAUUUAUUAAUUUCGGGACAGCAUUAUGUUUGGUAUAUAUAUAAUGUAUAAAUCCAAAAAUAAGGGAUGUGGUCAAAGAGUUAAUAUAUUAAUGUCUAAGAUACUACAAAAAGAAGAGAUGUUAUUAAUUGUAAAAAAUAGAAAAACUCCUAUAAAAAAGAGAUAUGAUCGAUGUAAAAAUCUUAAGUGUGGAUGGUUCCGAGAAAAAGUUGAAUUAAGAAAAAUAGAACUUGUAAGAAAUUUUUCAAUAUUGUAUCAUGGUUUGCUAAUUUUUGGAUAGAGUUCUUCAAUUAUUAAUUUAUAUUUCCUUAGGUCUCUAAAGGUUUUUAAAAAAAUUAUUAUAUGAGGCAUUUAGUAAGAUUACUAAUUUAAACAUUGAUUCGAGUUUGAACAAGAAAAUUUUAUUAUUCAAGUGAGAACCAUCAACAAUUUUGAUACCAAUUGUAAUACCCCGUUGUCAAUCGUAUGGAUAUUAUUCGUUCUAAUAUCAAAUAACCCUCAUAAUUUUAAAACGCAUCUAUAAAGUAAAAAAGAACUCGUACAUGUACAGCUUUAGGAACUUUUUUUGCCAUCCAGUGAGAGUUAAAAUUGGUGGAUGAAAAUCAUAAAACUAUAUUUGAAAAAUGACCCUGAAAAGGUGAAUGAAAAAAAAAAUGGGAAAUAACCAUCAACAACACUAAUUUUUAAGAUAAAGUUAAAUAAAAUAAGAAUUAAAAUGUGAUUAAUUGGAAGAGAUUUUUCUUUUUUUUGAAUAUCAAUGUUUAAAAUUAGUAUCUAAUAAAUGAAGCAAUGAACUAACAAUUGAUAUUUUGAAGAAGUAAAUGUUAAAAGAUUUGUGCAACAUUAAUGUUUUGGAAUUAAAAUUUAAUAGAUAAAAUAAUAAAAUCAUAAAUUGAGUGUUCCUUGAAAUGGAUGAAAUAAAUAUUUGCAUUCUAAAACAAAGAAGAUUGAGGAGAAAAUAAGAGAAACUUGAAGGAAAAUAUUCAACUCAAAAGUUAUCUUAAUCUAAUCCUAUUUACGAGAUUUAAUUUGAAAGAAUUUUUAAGUUUUUGAUAUAAUGAAAUUAUCUACCGAAUGAAAAGCGGGUUUUAAUUCACUAAUUUUAAAAAAUAUAUAUAUAGAAAAAAAAGCCUUAAAAUUUAUAAAUUAUAUUAUCAAAUAAAAUGGUAUUUUAGGAAAAAAUUAUUUGAUUUAUAAAAAAGUGUAUAUAUUUUAAAAUAUUUUUAAAUGAAUGAAAGAUAAAAUUAAAAUUCAAUUUUAUAUAUAUAUAUAUAUAUAUAUAUAUAUAUAUAUAUUAAAUAGUGAGUCAAACCCACUUUUUCUGUGAUUUUUUGUUUUUUUCUUUUGAAAUACAUGAAUGUUUGCUAGAAGUUGGACUAGGCUCCUUUGUCCACCCUAUGGAGAGAUAUUUAGUUGGCUGCUGGGCUUGAUGUCUGCCGGAAUCCUUACCAUGUAGUAAAAGGUAGCUGUAGUUUGCCAUGUUGUGAAUCACAUGUGGGAAUUCUUUUAAUCACCUGUGGGAAUUCUUUUUGAGUCACAUCAGCAUAAUCUUGACUGAUGGAUGUGACCCUGCAACUAACUUUUUGAUCUCUUGCUCAUCGCCCAUUGAAAAAUUAAUUAAUGACUUAUUUGACAGUGAAAAUGAAAAAUAAAAAAGAAAGUAUUUUUAUUUAAAUUAAAAAUGAGAAUAAUGUAGAGACUUUUAUUCGAGCAUGUCAUUGGAAAUUGUUUAGUAAAGAAAUAGUCAUUUCUAACAUAAAUAUUUGAAAGUAGAUUUAAAAAAUUCUUAAUAUAUUUUACCAAUGUUUUUUUCUUUCUAAUUUUUAAAAUUAAUUUAUAAUUAAAAAUUUGAUCUAAUUAAUUGCAAAUUAUAGUAAAAUAUUUUAGAAUACUCUAUCUGCAGUUGAAUAUUAAAUGUAAUGAAAAACUUAUCAACAAUUAUUAUUUUUAAAUUAGUAUAAUUCAUUUUUAAUUAAAAAAAAAGAAAAAAAAUUAUAUUUGUAGAUGUUUAUAUCCAUAUUUUUAUAACAUAUAUUAAAAUAAUAUAUUUUUAUAAAAAUAUAAUUUAUGAUUUUAUUAUAAUAUUACUAUCAUAUUUUAUUAAAAAAAUAUUUAUUUUUAAAUUUAUUUAUAAUUAAAAAUCUAUCAUGUAAGGAAUCUUAGAGAGAGAGAGAACCAAGGGAAAAAGGUGUGGUAUAGAAAUGUAUGCCUGAACCAUAGUUUUGAGAAGUCGACAUCUUUGAAUGGCAAGUACCUCAAUAUUUAAUAUAUUAUAUAAUUUAAUAUAUUAUAUAAAAUUAAAAUUAAUUAUAAGAAAUUAGAAAUAUAAAUAUAAUUCAAUUUUUUUAAUAAAUAUUUUAUCUUUUAUAUUUGAUAUCAUGGAAUGAAACGAUGAUAACUUUAAAUAUAAAUAUAUUAAUAUUUUAAAUUUUAUUUAAUAAUAUAUAUAUAUAUAUAUAUAUAUAUAUAUUUAAAAUAAAAGGAAAAAUAUAAUAUUCAAUUCUAUUUACAUAUUAAAAAUUAAAAAUUUUAUUAUUUGAAUACUUAUCAUUAUAAAAAUAAAUAUUCACUUAAACAUUUAUGCUUAUUUAAGAAUUUAAAUUAAUGAAACUUCAAAAGAAAACAAAAACAAAAAAUAAAAACCAAAGGUUACAUUAUUGGGUUUUUGUAAUAGUUUGCAUAUAGCCCAAUGGUAGAUAUUUCCUUAGUUCUGUGCUGCUGGCAUUUUCAUUUUCUAUCCAUCUAACGCAUCCCACAUCAGAAAUUGACAUAAAAUAUUUGUUCCUGAGCUUAAGAUGAAAUUAACAAAGCAUUUGGCCCAUUAGCAGUGGGCUGAACUGGGGAUUAGCCUCUGGCCCCGCUCGGUGUUGCCACUUGCCAUACCCCAUGUGAAGCGUCAGUCCAAAUUUAUGGGAUUGAAUGUGUCUACUCCCUAGGGUCUUAGAUCUGUCUAUAACACUCCUCCUUGCAAGCUCUUAUAGAUUUUAUAAGGAAAAUCUUUAACCUUUGUUGAAGUUGUAAGGUACUUUACAACAUAUCUUGAAAAUUUGAGAGUUAGACAUUCAAGCUUUUGAUGGAUCACAAUACCUCUCUUAGGUUUCUUGUACUUCAAUAUAAUAAGCCUAUUUAUAUUUAGAAAACCCUAAAUAUCUAAUAAGGAGAGUUUCCCCACUUUCACACAUACCAAAAAAUGGGUUUUUAGAAUUAAAACCCAAGUGGGAAUCACUAGAAUUAGUUGAACAUUCGAAUGCCCUUGGAGCAUUUGAAUGCUCUCCCAUAUAUCUCUCUAUUUUUGUGAUUUUCUUACAUUUAUCAUUUAUCUGUACUCUUGUAAUUCAUAAUUAUAUAUUAGUUAUUCCAAAUUAAUAAUCUAAAAAUACAUACCUCAAAAUUAACGACUCUAAAUGAUUCCAAAUUCGAUUCUAUUGAAGUUUCUUGAAGAUAUUAAGAUUAACGAGUUUUUUAAUAAGAAGGGUUAAUUUCAUUGACCUCCUCUGAGGUUUUGGCUAAAUACCUUUGGCCUUCAUUGAAUCGAAAUUUCAUCAAAUACCUAUCUUAUUUUUUUCAUUUGAUAUUUUUAUUCACCUUUCUUCUAAUUCAAAAUAAAGGAGGUAUUUGAUGAAUUUUCAAGUCAAUAGAAGCUAAUUGUAUUUAGUUAAAACUUUAAGAAAGUUGAAUGAAAUCAACCCUAAGUAAGAUAUGAAACAAAAUUGUCAAUUAAACAUAGUACAUUAAUAUUUAUAAUCAAUAGCUUUAUUUUUUCUAAGGAUAAAGAUUAUAUGGAUAAAUAAAAUAUACUUUGUGCUAUUGUAUACAUAUUUUUCCAUAAUUCAUAGCAAUUAAAAUAUUUUGAAUGAAUGUAAAGAGAUUUUUUAGAAUAGUAACAUUUGGAAUUAAAAACUUAAUUAAAGAGAGAUAGGAGGAUGAAUUGAUGGGAAGAUAUGAAAAGAACUUUUAAAACAAUGAUUUUGUGGUUAGAAAUUUUAUGAAAUGGAAAUUAGAUGUCAAAUUAAAAUUUAGAAAAAUAAGAUGAAUAUUAAGAACAUUUUUCUUGAAUAUUAAUAUUAAAAUUAUAUUUGAAAUUGAGAUUUGAAGCAAAUUAAGUACACAUCAAGAGAUUUUGUUCAACAUUAAUAUUUGGAACAAGAAUUUAAUAACUAAAAUAAUUAGAUAAAUUAAUUGACUUUUGAAAUGGAUAGAAUAAUUAAAACUAAUACUUGAUGCUAAAGUAGAGAGAGGAUUAUUGAGAAACAAUGACUUGACUUUUUCAUGGAUUAAGAAUGAAUAUAUAUACACAAACCUAAAACACAAAAAUAGGAAACAAUCUACCCAAAACACAAAAAUAGGAAACUACAACUAAUUAGAAGAAUUUAAAAAUAGAAAGAAAAUCUAUUGUAAUGAAUUCUCUAAUAUGCCCCCUCAAGAUGGAGCUUCGGAGGAGACGCCAAUCUUGACCUGUAAUUCUUCUAAUUUUAAAAAUAAAAUAAAAUUGGGAACACGUAAAAAUUAUUAUUAUUUAUCUAUUUUAAUAUAUAUAUAUAUAUAUAUAUAUAUAUAUAUAUGUAAAGAUAUUUUAAAAAAUGAUAAAAAAUAAAUAAAAUUGAACAUAAUAUUUUUUUUUUCUUUUUCUUUGACUCGGUACUAAUAUUGAAAAUCUUCAGUAUGAUCAUCCUUUGAGUUAUGCGUAUUAUUUUUGUUUUAAUUUCUUUAAAACUUUUUAUUGAGUAAAUAAAUUUUAAAUUGAACUAUAAUUAAUACAUAAAAUUUAUUAAUUUUUUAAAAAUAAUUUAAAAUUAAAAAACUAAUUAAUUAUUAUUUGAAAGUCAUGAAACUCAAUAACAUUAUAAAGUCAUUGACAAAAAUUUAUUUUAUUGACUUGGCUACUUUCUUCUUUAUAAAUAGUCAUAUCUUUACAAAAAAAUUUACUAGACAAAUAAAUUCAAAAUCAAGCAAGACUUAAGAUUUAGAUUUAUUAACACGUCUAGUAAUUUUUAAAAAUAAAUUAAAACUCAAAUAAUAAAUAUAUUGAUAUCAUAAGUUUAUGGACAAAGAUUGGUUCAAAAUGACUUUAUUAUUUCUCGUCUGCAUAGAACCAUAUUUUGUGAUUUUUUUAAUAGACAAACAAACUUAAAAUUAAGCAAGAGAUAAUGUGUUGGAUUCAUUAACAAGUUUGAUAAUUUUUAAAAAUGAUUUGAAACUCAAAUAGUGACCUAAUUAGUACAAAAAAAUUUAUGGAUAAAAAUUGGUCCAUAAUGACUAUUAUUUUUUUUUCUAUAUUGGAGGUAUUGGUCAUAGAAGACGACCAACCUAUAGGUCUGCCUACCUUUCAAGGGUCAGGUGUCAGAUUUUGCUACAAAAGCUCUCUUUCAAGGGGUGUCAAAUUUUGUCAGGAAGGGGUACCCAGAUGUUGUACUUGACCGAAUAUCAUCUCCCAAUUGAGAAGUCCUCCCAGUUCCAUUUGAACCUAUAGUGAUUCAAGAGCUUGUCCCAACUGAUCCUAGAAGAAUUAAAAAAUUGAUCAUCGGGAAAAAGUUGUCGGGCCACCAACAUGGAUUAUGUGUCACAGAUACUGAGGGUAGCAACAAAACAUGUAUGAGGAAUAAAUUCCGAAGGAAAACCUUGUCCUAUAACGUCAACAUGAAGCGUUAAAAAGGACAACCGCACCCCACCUAACACAGAUCUACCCAACUAAUUGUGUAUGCCACACAACUUCUAACAUCUAACUCUCGACAUAACAUUUCCCUAAGAGAAGGUUGACCCACUUGACCAAUAAGGACUUAGUUUGUGAAGACUACAAGAGAGGAAGAAAAACAAGAGAUGGGAGAGAUCUUUUUCCUACACAGCCAAGACACCCACCAUUAGAAGAGAUGACACUAGAAGAUUGGCUAGUGACUCGGAUAGUCACUGGAUGAUCACAUUCAGAAAGGUUGUGCACCAAUAAUUGGUGUCGUCUAUCGGAAUGAAACAAAAAGCUAACCAUGGUGACUAAAUGGGCAACUAACCAUAUUGAUGGUGAGUUUCAUCCCAAUAACGAGCAGCCACAAUGGAUGAUUGAACCCCAAUUGAUGGAGUACCGAAGAUAGCUACAUGAGCUGAAAAGAGCCAAUGACUAGCUCAGAAGGGAGAACCUAGAUCUUGGCGUCUUGACUUGGUACAAUUACCCAAACACUACCAAUUGACAAAGAGGCGUUGGCGGGCCUGCCAAAUAAAAAUUUCUUGGUCCUCCCAAAUGGCCCAAUUCGUCUGGAAGCAAAGAUCCCCAAAUGAGGAGGCACGAUCAUCAACAAUUGUAUUUUUCGAAGUGGAUCUACUGUGCAUCAUACGACGACCCAAAAGAAAAAAAAAAAAAAAGCCUUAGGUGCCAAGAAGCACCCAACCCAAAAAGCCUAAGGUGCCCAAAUAGCUCCCAACCAGGCCUAGAGUCUAACAAAGCCUAAAGUGUCCAAGAAUCACUCGACUAGGCCUAACGUUUAACAAAGCUAAAGGUGCUCAAGUAGUACCCGGCCAGGCCUAGAGCCUAACAAAACUUAAAAUGCCUAAGAAGAACCUGGUCAAGCCUAACGCCUAACAAAACCUAAAGUGCCCAAGUAGCAUCUGACCAGGCCUAACACCUAACAAAGCCUUAGGUGCCAAGCAGCACUCUACCAAAAAGUCCAAGGUGCCAAGAAGUACCCGACCAAAAGCCUUAGGUGCCAAAGAAGUGCUUGACUAAAAAGCCUUAGGUGUCGAGUAGUACCUGGCUAAAACUUUAAGUGACAAAAAGCACCCAACUAAAAAGCCUUAGGUGCCAAGAAGCACUUGGCCAAAGACAUUAGUUACUAAAAAAGCACAUGACUGAUUACUACUCAAAAAGAACAUAUUUUAGAUAAUAAUUCUCAUGAGUUUCACAUAUUUUGAGUAGUAAUUAUGCCUAAAACACUCAAUUAACAUGUGUUUUGCCCUUGCAAGAGUUACUUACAAGUUUUAUGAAGUUUUGGAGCCAUUUCAAGAUAUCAUUUUGAUAAAUUUGUGUCAAAAGAGAUGAAUCAAAUUGAAGAAAGCAAAUAAAGUUGACGAUGAUCCAAAUACACAAUGAAAGAAGUAAUGUAAUUGGUUUGGACCAAGCUUUGGAGCUGAAUUGAAGGUGGUGGAAAUAGAUUAAAAAUGAAGAAACGAGAGAAAUUGCAAAGAGGAGUCGAAAAAACAUGUUUUUCAAUUUCGCAUGACCAUGCGAAAUGAAACAAAAUGGGUUUUGGCUGUAGCAUACUAAGGGAAAAGUGAAAAGAAAUUUUGCAUGACCAUGCGAAACGCUCCAAGAAGACGAAAAUAAUUUUGAUGGAUCUUCCACUUCGCACCAUCAUGCAAAAUUGCUGGGACUCGUGCGAAAAUGUAUUUUCUCUAGAUUUCGUGAUGAAGAAGCCUCCGGAAAACCUCUUAGAUGAUGCCAAGUGUCCACUUGACCUUGGCCUAUAAAUAGAAACGAGAUUGACUCAUUCUAAAAUUUUUUGAUUUUUCAUAAUUGUAGAACUUUCCAUAUUUCUUCUCUCUAUAUAAUUCUCUACUUUUUUUUUUCUCUCAUUUUCUUGAUAGCCAAACAUGUCUUGUGAGAUCAAAUCUCCAAGCAUGAGUGGCUAAAUCUCGUUUUUCUCGGAGGAGGGAGGAUCUAGAGGCAAGAUCUAUGGUGAAUUAGAGAAUUGAGCUUGAAUUGCAAAGGUAAUUUGAUCCAAUUGAUUGAUUAAUUGAAAUUUGGGGAUUUUUCUCUUCAAAUUGUCUUGGAUGAUUACUACAAUGCAAGUUAGGUAAAUUCAUCAAAUUCUUAAUGAUAGAUUUGAUGAGAUUGAAUAGUUGCAUUGUGUGAAUCAUUGGAAAAUAAUUUAAGAUGAAUUGAAUAUAUGAUUUGAAUUGAUCUCUUGGAUUAGAUUACCUAAUUUGAAGAGAAAUUAGAUCUAGACUUAAAGCUAAAUCAAAAAUCGGUUUAGAUGAAAAUUUAGGUUUUCAAUCUAACUUGAUGAAAAUUAGAUCUCAACAUCUAUUCACCAUGGAAAUUGCUUUCUAGAAAAUCCUAACUCCGAGAAUUUCACAUCUUAUUAAUUUUAUUCUCUUUUACACUUCAUUUUCCUCUCAAUUUGAAUACAUUGUUGUUUUGGAUUUUUAUCAUGCAAUUUCAAGUCAAUUUCACUUGAUCACAAUCAUUUCUUAUCAUCUCAUUGAAGCCUUAAUUACCGAGAAUAAUCCAUCCUUGUUGACGAUACCUAAAAACCACUAUACUACAGUAGUUUGUACUAAAACCACUUUUUGAUCGGGUGCAAAUUGCUAUAGAAUAGUGAAUUAGGUUAUAAAUUUUGUUUUGAUCAAUAAACGACAAAAUUCGAGCGAUCAAUGGCCAAAAGCCUUAGCUGCCAAAGAAGCACCUGCCUAAAAAACCUUAGGUGCCAAAUAGCACUCGACCAAAGCUUCAAGGGUUAAGAAACACCUGACCAACAAUCUUAGGUGCCAAAAAAACACCCAACGUGCCUCUAUUGGUCAGUUUCAGCAAUGCGGUCAAGAAACUUGCCCUUUUGCUAUCAAAAUUCAUGAUGCUACACAAAAAAAAAAAAAAAAAAAAAAAAAACAGAAAGAUGGAGGAAAAACAUAAGUGUAUGAAAAAAAUUCAGCUUACCCUCAAACGAAACAAAAAGAAGUAGACCAAUUCUUACCAGCACACUCAAGUCUCGAGAAAAAAACUAUGGCAUGACAAUAAGCACAUCUGGGAGCUAGAACCAUGGGACAAGGUAGCACUGCCCUAUCUUUGCGCGCAUGCAUAAGGAAAAUACAACUCUACCACCAAUAGAGUUCUAACCUGCGAAUGAUCAAAGAAGGCAAAAUACCCAUCUAAGUGAAAAUGUCCAUCAAAGUCAAGUGCACAACAAGGUAAAAUGCCAAUCAAGGCUAAGUACGCAACAAAGUGAAAUGCCUAUCUAGGCGAAAUAUCCAUCAAGGUUGAGCGCCCGUUUAGGCGAAAUACCUAUCUAGGCGAAAUGUCCAUCAAGGCUAAGUGCCUAUCUAGGCAAAAUGUCCAUUAAGGCCAAGUGCCCAUUUAGGCUAAAUGCCUAUCAAGGUUGAGUGCCUAUUUAGGAAAAAUGCCUAACAAGGCGAAAUGCCCAUCAAGGCCAAGGGCCCAUCUAGGCAAAAUGACCAAACAAAGAGAAAUUUCAAAAGAAAAAAAAUGAAAAGAUGGUUGUACACAUUGUGCCACCUUGUGCAAAUCCUCAAACAUCGCCAUUCCUCAAAGUGAUGCAUGUAUGACCUACCAUUUUCUUAUGGACUGAAACACAAAGGUCUCACGCCUAAGUAGCUCUCAACGCACAUCAGAUUUUACUACAAAAACUACUUCCUAAGGGGUGAUGAAUUUUAUCAAGAAGAGGUACCCGAAUGUUGUAUCGGUUGAAUAUCAUCUUCCAAUCGAGAAGUCCACUUGGCUUCAUUUAAACCUAUAGUGAUCCGAGAGCUUGCUCCGACUAGUUUUAGAAGAACUUAAAAAUUAAUAACCCGAAAUAAGUUGUCGGGUCGUCAACACGGAUCAUGUGUCAUGGAUAUUAAAGACACCAAUAAGGCACGUAUGAGGAAUAAAUCCCAAAGGAAAAACCUUGUCCUGUCAUGUCAACAUGAGGCGUCAUGAAAGACAACCUAUAGACCCUCCAUUUUGUCUUCUUAGCACAUGUGACAAUAGGUGCCUUCCUGUACUUCUCUAUUAACUCGUAGUCAUCCCUUGGUUGCCUUUCGAGCUUAGUUUAGGUCUCAUUUAGAUUUUUUUGAGGAUAGAUUCCACUUGGAUGUCUCUGAUAGGCCUAUUUCACUUAGGUUAGUUUUUGAGUUUGAUUGCUUGAUUUUGAGCAUAAGUGAUCUUUGUUUUGAUUUUAGAUCUUUGAUUAGAUGAGAUGAAUUCUUUGGUUAUACGAGCUUGACAUUUUUAUUAUUAUUAUUGUUUAUUGAGUUCGUUUAAUAUCUUGAUUCAUUUGAGUGCAAACGUGAUAUUAAUAUUUGUGUUUGUUUUUAUUUUUAUUAUUUUUACAUGAGAUUUGUACUUUGAUUUCUUUCGCAUGUAUGAGAUUAAUGAUUGAUUUUAAAUAUGCAUGUGAUUGACACUCUAAUUUUUAAAUUGCGUAAUUUUGAUGUUUAAUUUUGCAUGUUUUUUUACUUUAAUCAUUAUCCUAUUUUUGCAUGGGACUUGAGGGCUAUAUAUUGGAGAUUUUGGUUUUCGAAAAUUGAAAAAAAGUUCGAUAUGGAUUUUGUUGGCUUAGUAGUUGGAAUUGAGUCGUUAAAUUUUAAUGAAAUUCAUGAGAAUAGUGGCGGUAUAUAUAGUGUUUUAGUGGUUGACAUGUUUAUUGAGUAAACUUUGUGCACAUUAGGCUUUGUGAAUGCAUUUCUAUGUAGAAAUCAUGAGGGUUACACCAUUAUGGAAAAACUAGUAGCAACAAAAAAACCAACAAUACUAUAAGAAAAAUAAAAGAUGGGCUAUCAAUGGGGAGAACAACUCUCACAUGCAUGCCAAACAUUAAUCCCAUGCACGUGCAUGCAACCUUGUCAUGCAUGGGCACCUUUGAUGCAUCAUUUUAAGUGCAUCGGGCUAGUUUCUCUCCAGUUCUAGGAAGGCCCACCACAAGCUCUUAAAUUUCAAUGGCAACUCAAUAGGGGGCUACAUGAAAAAUUGGAGAAGUCAUGGAAAAGUACAGAAAAAAGAAAUUCAAGUUGGGAAUUGAGGGAGAUUUAAAGAGUCUUAGUGGAAAAUGAUACAUGGGAAAUGAGUUGGAUGUGGUUUUCAAAGGGACAUAGUGAAGCCUUAAAAAAAAAAAAAAAACCUUCACUUUUAAGGAAGAAGAAAAUAAAAUAAAAAUGGUGGGAUGCUGGAAAGAAAUGGAUAUGAAAAAUCGGAAAGACAAACUAUUUUGAAGAGAAUGGUACACAACUUGCAGAAGAAGUAGAGAGAGAAAGAUGAGAAAAUGAACUAAGAAGAUGAUGCUCUGAUUUCCUGAGGGGUGGAUGAGUUUCGGGGGAAAGUAGGUGUUAAAAAAAAUCUGAGAGAAAAGACAAGGGAAAGGAAGAUUGUAGAAAAAGAAAAUGAGGUUUUCAACAAAAAAAAAGAAAAAAAAAAAGAAAAAAGAGUGAUUGAUUGGCUUCCUUUCAGAGGUAAGUUCUUUACUGUAAAACCCUUGUUCAUUUCUAAAUUUCUAUCAUUGAUUAUUUUUGUGUGUUUUAUUGCAUGCUUGGGGUAUAGCCAUUGGGACUGCAUAAGUUUGUUAUGGAUUCUUUGCUUGUUUUAAUCAUCUUUGAUUUCCAUCUUGUUUUCUUGCUGCUUAGUCAUCAUUUGCCUUCUCGGUUGUGGAUAACAGAUGAUGCAUGUUGAGUUUCAUAAGAUUCUGGUUUGUCUGCACGUUUAUGGCCACUGAUUUAUUCACUGCUUUAUUUUUCAUUGUUUAGAUGCACAUAUUAAUUUUAGUCUUAUUCUCAUUUUUAAUUUUAUCUCAAGUUCUCCUUGCUCAAUUAAGCUCAUGGAUUGAAAUGUAAAAUGUGGUUUUUGUGAUUUCCUUUACUUCCAUCUUUUAUGCUCUGUUUAUGAUCUUGUUUUUUUUUGUGUUUAUUGUUUCUAUAUUUGUUGCUGAUGUUGGUCGAGUUAUGUUACCUGUGAUACUGCCCGAGAAGCAUUGUCCUCCCUAACCACUCCUCUUCAUAGCCUACUAAUGUGUUCCUCUUAGUGAGAAAUUGGGUGUUGGAUGCACAAUCCUACCUUCUAAUGUUACACAUGCAGUUGUUGUCGUGAAUUUCAGGGUGAUAUAAGUCGUAGGACGUUUAUAGUGAUAUUAUGAGACAAGUGCAUCUGAUAGUCUGAGUAACCAUAAUGGCAUAAGAAAUCUAACCAUAUUUAGAAUAGCCCCAUAUCUCAUUUAGCAUAUGAAUACCUUUGCUGUCACUUGAGGAUGACACACCCUAAGUCGUAUCUUGGGCCCCCAACCUUGGCAUGAUCAUUCUAGUGCAUGUUCAGCAACAUCACGCUUAUAGGGAAUGACCAUGACAACCUUGGGCGCCCUAUAUAGGUGGAUUCUUCAAAACAUCAACCAUGCAUUCAUGGGAAUAAAGGUGGCAGCGUGAUCCUUUCUUCCUAACACCCCCUAGUUUUUCUCUUUAAAUUACCCAUUAUUCUCUACCCAUUCCCAUACUUAUUUCUCUAAGACCUUAUCUCAAUUCUAUGUCUCCAAGAUUCCUCAUUCCACCUCUACCAAUUUGUCUUAUUCUAAAUUACAUAUCAACUAAUAUUCUUCGCGUAUUGAGAGCUUUACACAUAUCAUAAUGGAUGGAGAGUUUAAUUCUUCAUGGCCUACAUGGCCCUUCGUAUUAAGGACCUUUGCAAGCACUUCUAAUCAAUUUGUGUUAAGUUUUGGUAUUUUGAUAGCCUUUUUGAUCACCAAAGCAAUCCGUGAUUGAGGAAAGUUAUGAGGAAUCUUGGGCAAAGCAAUUGGAAGCUCAGAAACAUGAAGAACCAAAUCUUGGAAGUCCUUUGCCAUAAGUAAAUCCGGAAUGCAAGGAGAAGAAGCAAAGAGAAUCUGCCAUAAAGCAUAUUCUUGAUGACAGUCAUAUCAGCCACUUUUGGAGCACUUUCUGAAGGCUAAUUGAUGCAUGCUAUACACCAUUUUAAAGCUCAGGAAGUCAAAAAUCCAAUGCUUCGAAUGGUGCACAAUUCGGAGUUGAAACGAAGAAGUUACAGCCAUUACAAGUCAAUCACUCUAAGCUGAAAGAAGCAUUUUUCAAAGUGUUGCAAAAUCACCCUUUUGUUGCGAAAUGAUUUCACAACCUUUUUGAACAGUGUUGUGGAUUUCCUCCUGAAGUUGCCCGAUAUAUGCCGCAUGUUGGAAGCUGAGAGCCUCAAGGUGAAAGCCAACUUCGCAGAGCUGCGAGAUUAGCCUUUUGCUGCGAAGUGAUUUCGCAGCCUUUUUUGUGUGUCUGCGAAAUCUCGCAGACAUCAUUUUCUCUUGCGAAAUGGUCCUUAGUGCUUCCCGAUAUUUGCUACCGACAUUGGGAGAUAUUUUCCAUCAAAUUUUGUUGUCUAAAUCCCAAAAUUCUCCUUGUAAGCCACCAAUUACAAGAUUCCUUAGCUUUUAAGUUAGGAAAAAGAGUAAAUAUCCAUGUAAUAAUUAGUUUUGUAUUAUGUUUAUAUAAAUACCUCUCGAGAGCCUGUUCUCAGGGAGAAGGAACCUUUUUGUAAAAGUUUGAGAGCAAGUAAAGUUCAGGCCCUUUGUUUUGCCUUACCUUCUCACUUUGUUUUUUUCAUCUUUUUCUAAGUUAUGAACUCUCUGAGGAAUUUUCCCCAGAGAAUGAGUAACUAAACCUUUAGUUCCUUGGAGCUAAGGUUGCCGGGGAAGGUUCCAAGUGCAAGAAUGCAAAGCUUUGUGGUUUCAGCCAUUAAUGAAGAGGAAGUGAAAUCCUUUAGUGAUUUCUAUGUUUUUAGUUAACUUAAAACACCUUAGAGUUACCUGGGCCAACACUUGGUAAGGCAAGUGAUCUCCAACCAAGGAGAUGCACUAGUUUACCCCUUGCGAGCCUUUGGGAGGUGACUUUAAGGUAGGAUUUUCUGGAAUUGCCAACACUUGGUAAGCUUUUGGACUCCAAGGAGACAUCCAUUAGUUAUCUCUUGCAAGCUUGAGAAGGGAAGUCCAAGGUUAAAGAUCACCUUGAAUGGUUAAGGCUUAGUGAGAGACUUGAACCAUUGCAAGUUGUAUCAGUGAGAGAAUUAAAGUUGAAAUCUAAUUAAAGGAUGUAUCUGUACAUCACCGGUUAGAGAAUUGACUAUAUGUUGAAUCUCUAACGCGAGGAAAUGAACCAUCUAACCAGAGCUAUGUCUUUUGCAUGAGGAACCACCCCAGUGAACCUGACCCUCCAAGGAAUGUUUUUCCUCCUAAGUUAUUCCCAUUACUUGUUUUAUAGUUAGUUUAAAUCUAAAUCUUUGCCAAUCAAAGUUUGUAUUUUAUUUCUUAAGCUAACCUUGAAAUGAAACAAGACCAAUUCACUUUGAAUUGGUAUCAUUGAUAACUUGCUAAUCUUUCCCAGUGAACGAUCCUAGAGCCGCUAUGCUAUAGUAGCUUUUUCUUUGCUACCCUAGUAUAUGGUGUAAUAGGUUAUAAAUUUUGUUGAUUACUCCCUCAAUCAAGGAGCACCAGCUGGACACGAAUCAACUGAGACACCAAUUGGGCACGAAUCAAAUGGUAGCCACUCUUUUCAGCAUGAAAUAGUGGCCAUGAAUAUGUAAAUUGUCAUGGUAAAUUUUUGUGGAAAAUUAUGGAAAUAAUGGCCUUGUGUGUGUGGAUUUCUAUGGCUAAAUUUUUUAGCGAAAAAAUGGAGAAAAGUGGUUGCAUUAAUGGAUAUUCAUGACUAAAUUUUAAUGGCUAUGUUUGCUUAAUAAAGUGGUUGAAUUUUAUGGAAAUUUAAGUAGAGAAAUGAUGAAAUUUUAAUGAAGACCAUGACUGAAAUUCAAGUGAUUAUUUUCUGAAUUUUUAAUGAAAAUCAUGGCUGAAAUUCAAGUGGAGAUUUGCUAAGGUUUUAAAUGAUGUAAUUGGCUAAAAUUUAAAUAAUAUAAUUAGCUAAAAUUCAAGAUUGGACAUGAAGAUUUGGGGUAGAAAUUCAUGUCGCAUUGGUGAGUUUUAAUGGAAAAAGUGGCAGCAACAUAGUGAGACUUUGGAGGCUUGAAUUAUUAUUUUUUUUAAUGGUAAUAAUGAGUGAAAGUGGUGGCUAUUAAAUAUUUGAAUUGAUGAUUUUUUUUAAUGGAAAAAUACAUGUGAAUUUCAUGAAUUCGGUGGCCUAUAAUUAAUCUUUGGUAGCUGAAUUUCUUUUUAUGGAGAAUUAUGGAAUUUGUGGCUGCUAGUGGAUGAAAUUCAAGUGGAAAUGUUAAUUCCUAGCUUAAAAUCAAUGGAAUUGGAUAGCUAAAUUUUAGCCAUGUAAUGAAGUUUCAUGGCUGCAUUUUGGUGGCCGUUUGGUGGAGAUUAGAGGUUACAUAUAUAGGGUUUUUUCAUGGCUGAAAAUUUCUUUAAUUCAAGUAGAAAUACGACUAAAUUCUAGUAGAUUUUGUGGUUGCAUAUAUGGUGAUUGAAUGGCUAAAAUUCAAGUGAAGUUUAGUGGAUAUUUUCAUGGUUGAAUUGUGCUAAAACUCAAGUGAAGAAAUAAGUUGAAAGUGGUUGCAUAUACGGUGGUUGUGUGGCUGAGAAUUAAUGAAGUAAAUGCAUCCAAAUUGAUAGAUCUUCAUGAGCCAAAUUAUGGUUGAUUAGUGUUCUUUUUAAUGGAUAAAUUUAAGAAACAUAAUAUGAGUUGCAUAUUGGUGUGCGUUUGAGUUGAGAAAUAUAUCAAAGUGAUCAUAUUUAUGGAGCAUAAUAUGGAGUUGAAUGCAUGGUUAAAAUCAAGGGAAAUGAAGUUGAACUUAGAUAUUUUAAAUAUGAUAUGAAUAUGCAUUCCUAAUAGUUUUAUGGUUAAUUUUUGUUAAUCAAUAUUCUCAAGUCUUAAUAUUCUAGUUGCCAAUUUUCAAUAUUUCAUGUUAGUAUAUAUUCUUAAUAUUUUUAGGAUUAGUUUCCACUGAUUUAAUGUCUCAUGUUUCAAUGUUUCCUAGUUACUAAUUUUUGAUAUUUGAUUGUCAAUGCAUUUUCUUAACAUCUCUAUACUUAGAUUCCAUUGGUCUUGCUAUUCCAUGAUCCUAAAAAUUUAUUGUUGGUAGUUUGAUGAAUUAGAAUUGUUAGUAUACAUUUUAUUUCUAUUUUCUUUUCUAGGUUCAGUUUCUAUUGAUCCUCUAUUGGUUGAUAUAUAUAUAUAUAUAUAUAUAUAUAUAUAUAUAUAUAUUUCUGUUGCUAGCUUUAAAACUUUAUGAUAGUGUAUUCUCUAGAAUUUCUUUUAAAUAGUGAUUGUGAUUGAUCUUGAUAAUCCAUGUCAUCUGAGUAUUAUUAGAUCAUUUUUCAUGCCAUGAAAGUUCUCAACUUUGAAAAUUUGAUAGUUCUAGGGUGUUAAAUCUUAUUAUUAGUCAUGACAAUUUUUUGUUAAAUAAUUUUUCUUAAAUGUCAAUAAUUUAGUUUCAUGAUGAUUUUUCAUUAUUUGAUUGAAAUUAGUUAGUUUCAUGUUAUUUAUAUUAUUUGCAUGCCUUUAAAAGUCUUAUCCUAGAAAGUUCAUUAACUCUUAGGUUUUUAAUCUUCUUGUUUUAGUUUCAUGUCUUUAAAUUAUUUCCCAUGCUAUUAAAAGUCUCAUAAUGCUAAGUUUGAUAAUUUUAAUAUUUGAUCUUCUUUUUUUAGUUUCAUAUUGAAAGUUCUUGGGUUUUAGAUCUUCUUGUUAUUAUUCAUGUAUUUUGAUUGUGUUAUCAUAUUGAAAGUUCUCAUUUUUGGAAUUUCGGUAGUUCUUAGGUUUUUGAUCCUCUUGUUAUUAUUAAUGUAUUUUGAUUGUGUUUAGGUUUAAUUUGACUAGUGCCUAGUCCUUUGAAAUCUUCUUGUUAUUAUUCAUGUAUUUUGAUUGUGUUAUCAUAUUGAAAGUUCUCAUUUUUGGAAUUUCGGUAGUUCUUAGGUUUUUGAUCCUCUUGUUAUUAUUAAUGUAUUUUGAUUCUGUUUAGGUUUAAUUUGACUAGUGCCUAGUCCUUUGAAUAAAAUAGAAUACAUGUUGAAUGAUAUAAUACCUGAACUAACUUGGAUGUCUUGUGAUAGCAUUUAAAUUGCGGUGUAGGUACGCAUACUAUCAUUUCUUUAUAAUUGCGUUUGAAAUUUUUGUUUGGCAUGCUAGCAAUUAUAGAGUUUUAAGAUCACCUUAGCCUACCUAGGUAUUCAGAAUCAAUUGACUAAUUGUCAUAUUUCCCUCAACUUAGUUAGUAGAGACUUUUUUAGGGCUUAGAAGGGUGCUACCUCUUUGGAGGUACCUUCCCGAUAGGUAAGCUGAUCCUCGGACCCAAACUUGAGUUUUUUGUAGAUAACUUUUCCAAAAGUCAGGAGUCAUUUUAUGGGUUUGGUUCUUACUUGAUUUCUCUUUUAAAAAAAUAAAUAAAAGUAAGUGGUGACUCCAACUUUUUAUAAACAUAUGUUUUCACUUUAAUCAAAAGCGAGUCUUGCUAGUUAAGUGGGAAUGCACGUGAAAAAUGCGGGUCCACAAAUUGGCGAGUCCACAGGGGAUCGAACCCAGAAUCUCUGGUUUCAUAGAAGAUCAAGCUUGAAUACUAGUUGAGAAAAAUAUGACAUUUAAUUAGUUGAUUAGAGGGUACCUUCCUUUUAGGCAAGGUGGUUCAGUUUGCUUGCUUAAUUGAUUUGAUAUCUCAACAUGUCAUUAUACUUGCUUCUCUUACAUGAUUAUCUGGUUGCAUGUUCCCUUUAGCAUGAUUCACUAUCACUUUUGUUCAAUUAGGACAUCGAUGGUUUGCUAUUUUACACUUGUCUUUUGCAUGACUGGUUAUUGCAUGACUCCCUCUUCUUUUGCAUGAUUGUUUGUUGCUUGUUUAUGUAGGACAUACUUGUAUCCCCUUAUUUCCAAAUCCUUAGUCUUGGUCGACCUUAUUUCUCUUGUUCUCAUACUUCAUGUGAGACAUAUUAUUUUAUGAUUGUCUUUCAACCAAACUGGUGGUUAGGAGUAGGGUCUAGUAAUGGGCUAUAUCUAUGUUUGGGAGCACUAUGGAGGAGGUAGACUUAUUGAUGCUGUGUGGAGUCUGAUCUGUAAAGACUUGUAUAGCCUAAAGCUAGAUUUCAUGGAUACUUGUGCGUCCAAUGUGUUUCCUUUGUUUCUUUUAGAUCAUAGAUUUUCGGAUGCACCCACACACAUCACUAUGCGCAAUAGAUUACCCCCUGAGUAUUGAGAGAUGUGAGAGCCUUUGCCAUUUGGAAACCCCCUAGGAAGCGAGGUAGUACAUGUGUGGAGGUGAUGACCACCUUGCAUGGAAGCAUCCCGUCUCUUCGGAGACAUGUAGAGGGGGGGUUGUGUAUCGUCAGAGAGUACAAUUGUUUCUGUUAGGGAUCCCUUUAACCCACCCAUUUUUUUUUAUAGAGCCACCUUGUCCUUAUAGGCUAAGCUUAGGCCCCAUUAGGAUUCUCUUCCUACACGUGGGUGCAUCUAUGGGCUUUUAGAGUCGGGUUAGUACUAAUAGGUUUAGUUACCUUUGUAGUAGUCUCUUAAAUAUUUGCUUGGAAUUUGAUAUUAGUUUGAGUACUUCUUGGUUACUUUCCUACAUAGUUACUAGACGUUCCUUGUAGAGUUUUUCUUACACUGUGUCUUAUCCAAUGUUUCCACUAUUGUAAGAGUAUUGAUACGUUUGAUCUGGGUUCAACUUCUUAGAUCAAAGUUAGAGGUAGAUUGAUUAAAGUGUCAGACCAGUUAGAUCAGACAUAUCAAAU